AGGAUGGAGUCCUCCAACAUUAGAAGGCCCUUAGGGAUGCCCAUCCUUCCCCAGUCAAAUAAAGAUGACCUUCCUCUCGACGUUCUCUGUGGGUAUAUAAGGCUUCGGCGUCUUUUGGAUGAUUGCCAUUUCAUCUCCUACGUCAGCUACCUCAGCAGGAGAACCAUCAUGAAGAGGGCGCUAUUACUGAUUGCCAUCCUGGUAGCAGUGCUUGUAGUGGCGGUGCAAGUGAGUCAGGCACUGCCUCAGCCGGAUGCAAACCCCGAGGCACACCCCGACGCCAACCCAGAAGCCCUGGCGGACCCUGAUCCCUUCAAGGGCUGGAAGAAGAGGAAGAAGUUCGGCGGUGGUUAUGGCGGUGGUGGGUGCUGUGGGUAUCGCAGGAGGGGAUACUGGUGAAGAAGCCGAAGUGAACGUACACGUUUGUCUCUGCACCAGGAGUUCAUCUUACAAGGUCUAGAAUGACGAGAGUGGACGAAACGAUGGAAAUGAGAAAUGACCCAUGGUACGAUAUUGUAUCUCAUGGUUUUCUUCUCCCUGUUAGGUAAUUUUACAUAAUCUUUUCUUUCAACAUUUAGAAACAAAACCGAACUUUACAAUUCCUCAAUAAACUAUUCGAAAGAAA